UACGUAGGGUGCAAGCGUUGUCCGGAAUUACUGGGCGUAAAGGGCUCGUAGGUGGCCAACUAAGUCAGACGUGAAAUCCCUCGGCUUAACCGGGGAACUGCGUCUGAUACUGGAUGGCUUGAGUUUGGGAGAGGGAUGCGGAAUUCCAGGUGUAGCGGUGAAAUGCGUAGAUAUCUGGAGGAACACCGGUGGCGAAGGCGGCAUCCUGGACCAACACUGACGCUGAGGAGCGAAAGCCAGGGGAGCAAACGGG
rnacentral:rRNA from 1 species